GUGAGGAAUUUUCCGCAAUGGACGCAAGUCUGACGGAGCAACGCCGCGUGCAGGAGGACGCUUUUCGGAGUGUAAACUGCUUUUCUCUGGGACGAGGUAGGACGGUACCAGAGGAAGAAGCCCCGGCUAACUACGUGCCAGCAGCCGCGGUAAUACGUAGGGGGCGAGCGUUGUCCGGAGUUACUGGGCGUAAAGGGCAUGCAGGCGGUCGGACGCGUUUUGUGUGACAGCGGGUGGCUCAACUACCCGAGCAUAGGAAAGACGGUUUGACUUGAGGGCUCGAGAGGGACACGGAAUUCCGGGUGGAGUGGUGAAAUGCGUAGAGAUCCGGAGGAACACCGAAGGCGAAGGCAGUGUCCUGGCGAGUGACUGACGCUGAGGUGCGAAAGCCAGGGGAGCGAACGGGAUUAGAUACCCUUGUAGUCC
rnacentral:rRNA from 1 species